rnacentral:lncRNA from 1 species
CUAACCAAUAAAAGUAGAGUCAAAGGACAAGAAUGGGGAGAAGGUUUUCUAGCCAGUAAAGUCCGAUCUCGAUAGCAAAAAUCUUCUAAACUGGUGAGCACCUAAUCUAUGAAAGGUAGAUGUGAAGAUACCUUUACUUUCUAGUCCAAUCUGAAAGUUAUCACCCUGGACAUAGAAAAUGGGGGGCAAAAUGUUGGUGU